GCCCUCUGGGUCCACCUCCCACCCGUGUCUAUCGUACCUUGUUGCUUCGGCGGGCCCGCCGUUUCGACGGCCGCCGGGGAGGCCUUGCGCCCCCGGGCCCGCGCCCGCCGAAGACCCCAACAUGAACGCUGUUCUGAAAGUAUGCAGUCUGAGUUGAUUAUCGUAAUCAGUUAAAACUUUCAACAACGGAUCUCUUGGUUCCGGCAUCGAUGAAGAACGCAGCGAAAUGCGAUAAGUAAUGUGAAUUGCAGAAUUCAGUGAAUCAUCGAGUCUUUGAACGCACAUUGCGCCCCCUGGUAUUCCGGGGGGCAUGCCUGUCCGAGCGUCAUUGCUGCCCUCAAGCACGGCUUGUGUGUUGGGCCCCCGUCCCCCUCUCCCGGGGGACGGGCCCGAAAGGCAGCGGCGGCACCGCGUCCGGUCCUCGAGCGUAUGGGGCUUUGUCACCUGCUCUGUAGGCCCGGCCGGCGCCAGCCGACACCCAACUUUAUUUUUCUAAGGUUGACCUCGGAUCAGGUAGGGAUACCCGCUGAACUUAAGCAUAUCAAUAAGCGGAGGAAAAGAAACCAACAGGGAUUGCCUCAGUAACGGCGAGUGAAGCGGCAAGAGCUCAAAUUUGAAAGCUGGCCCCUUCGGGGUCCGCGUUGUAAUUUGCAGAGGAUGCUUCGGGUGCAGCCCCCGUCUAAGUGCCCUGGAACGGGCCGUCAUAGAGGGUGAGAAUCCCGUCUGGGACGGGGUGUCUGCGUCCGUGUGAAGCUCCUUCGACGAGUCGAGUUGUUUGGGAAUGCAGCUCUAAAUGGGUGGUAAAUUUCAUCUAAAGCUAAAUACUGGCCGGAGACCGAUAGCGCACAAGUAGAGUGAUCGAAAGAUGAAAAGCACUUUGAAAAGAGAGUUAAACAGCACGUGAAAUUGUUGAAAGGGAAGCGUUUGCGACCAGACUCGCCCGCGGGGUUCAGCCGGCAUUCGUGCCGGUGUACUUCCCCGUGGGCGGGCCAGCGUCGGUUUGGGCGGCCGGUCAAAGGCCCUCGGAAUGUAUCACCUCUCGGGGUGUCUUAUAGCCGAGGGUGCAAUGCGGCCUGCCUGGACCGAGGAACGCGCU
rnacentral:rRNA from 1 species